rnacentral:rRNA from 1 species
UACGUAGGUGGCAAGCGAUACUCGGAAUCACUAGGCGUAAAGCGCAGGUAGGAGGUUUGGAAAGUCUCUUGUGAAAGCUCCCGGCUUAACUGGGAGAGGUCAAGGGAAACUACCAGGCUGGAGUGCGGUAGAGGUAGCUGGAAUUCCCGGUGUAGCGGUGAAAUGCGUAGAUAUCGGGAGGAAUACCUAUGGCGAAAGCAGGCUACUGGACCGUCACUGACUCUGAUCUGCGAAAGCUAGGGGAGCAAACAGG